rnacentral:rRNA from 1 species
AGCAGCCGCGGUAAUUCCAGCUCCAAUAGCGUAUAUUAAAGUUGUUGCAGUUAAAAAGCUCGUAGUUGAAUUUUGGAUUCUGCCAGUUGGUCCAUCUUUUGAUGAGUACUGAUUGUGUGGGGUCUAUCCGCCUGGUGAUACGUAAUGUACUUUAUUGUAUGUUGCGGGUAGUCAGGACCUUUACCUUGAAAAAUUAGAGUGUUUAAAGCAGGCUUAUGCCGGAAUACAUUAGCAUGGAAUAAUAGAAUAGGACGAUGUUGUUUUAUUUUGUUGGUUUCUAGGACAACCGUAAUGAUUAAUAGGGAUAGUUGGGGGCAUUAGUAUUCAAUUGUCAGAGGUGAAAUUCUUGGAUUUAUUGAAGACUAACUACUGCGAAAGCGUUUGCCAAGGAUGUUUUCAUUAAUCAAGAACGAAAGUUAGGGGAUCGAAGACGAUCAGAUACCGUCGUAGUCUUAACCAUAAACUAUGCCGACUAGGGAUCGGGCGAUGUUGUUUUCCAUGACUCGCUCGGCACCUUAUA